rnacentral:rRNA from 1 species
AGAGUUUGAUUAUGGCUCAGAACGUACGCUGGCGGCACGCCUAACACAUGCAAGUCGAACGAAGUAGCAAUACUUAGUGGCAGACGGGUGAGUAACAUGUAGGUAUCUGCCCUUUGGCCUGGAAUAACACGAGGAAACUUGUGCUAAUACUGGAUAAGUCUUUACGGAGAAAGCUUUAUGCACCAUUGGAUGAGCCUGCACUUGAUUAGUUUGUUGGUGGGGUAAUGGCCUACCAAGACUGUGAUCAAUAGCUGAUUUGAGAGGAUGAUCAGCCACAUUGGGACUGAGACACGGCCCAAACUCCUACGGGAGGCAGCAGUGGGGAAUCUUGCACAAUGGAGGAAACUCUGAUGCAGCGAUGCCGCGUGAGUGAAGAAGGCCUUUGGGUUGUAAAGCUCUUUCGUCGGGGAAGAAAAUGACUGUACCCGAAUAAGAAGGUCCGGCUAACUUCGUGCCAGCAGCCGCGGUAAUACGAAGGGACCUAGCGUAGUUCGGAAUUACUGGGCUUAAAGAGUUCGUAGGUGGUUGAAAAAGUUAGUGGUGAAAUCCCAGAGCUUAACUCUGGAACUGCCAUUAAAACUUUUCAGCUAGAGUAUGAUAGAGGAAAGCAGAAUUUCUAGUGUAGAGGUGAAAUUCGUAGAUAUUAGAAAGAAUACCAAUUGCGAAGGCAGCUUUCUGGAUCAUUACUGACACUGAGGAACGAAAGCAUGGGUAGCGAAGAGGAUUAGAUACCCUCGUAGUCCAUGCCGUAAACGAUGUGUGUUAGACGUUGGAAAUUUAUUUUUCAGUGUCGCAGGGAAACCGAUAAACACACCGCCUGGGGAGUACGACCGCAAGGUUAAAACUCAAAUGAAUUGACGGGGACCCGCACAAGUAGUGGAGCAUGUGGUUUAAUUCGAAGAUACGCGCAGAACCUUACCAACACUUGACAUGUUCGUCGCGACUCUAAGAGAUUAGAGUUUUCGGUUCGGCCGGACGAAACACAGGUGCUGCAUGGCUGUCGUCAGCUCGUGUCGUGAGAUGUUGGGUUAAGUCCCGCAACGAGCGCAACCCUCACUUUUAGUUGCCAUCAUUAAGUUGGGCACUCUGAAAGAACUGCCAGUGAUAAGCUGGAGGAAGGUGGGGAUGACGUCAAGUCCUCAUGGCCCUUACGUGUUGGGCUACACACGUGCUACAAUGGUAUCUACAACAGGAAGCAAGACUGCGAAGUUAAGCAAAUCCCUAAAAGAUACCUCAGUUCGGAUUGCACUCUGCAACUCGAGUGCAUGAAGCUGGAAUUACUAGUAAUCGUGGAUCAGCGUGCCACGGUGAAUGCGUUCCCGGGUCUUGUACACACCGCCCGUCACACCAUGGGAGUUGGUUCUACCUUAAGGCAAGGUUUCAAACCCUUGACCACGGUAUAGUCAGCGACUGGGGUGAAGUCGUAACAAGGUA